rnacentral:sRNA from 1 species
UACGGUACGAAAAUUGGUCAUGGGGA